rnacentral:rRNA from 1 species
GAUGAACGCUAGCGGCAGGCUUAACACAUGCAAGUCGAGGGGCAGCGGGGAGGAAGCUUGCUUUCUCCGCCGGCGACCGGCGCACGGGUGCGUAACGCGUAUGCAACCUACCCAUUACAGGGGGAUAACACUGAGAAAUCGGUACUAAUACCCCAUAACAUCCAGGGAGGCAUCUUCUUGGGUUGAAAACUCCGGUGGUAAUGGAUGGGCAUGCGUUGUAUUAGUUAGUUGGUGGGGUAACGGCUCACCAAGACAACGAUACAUAGGGGGACUGAGAGGUUAACCCCCCACAUUGGUACUGAGACACGGACCAA